AGAGCUAUCUUUUCCUUUGUGGAAUUCUACUAACUUGGAUUUUGAUGUACAGAUCCAAAUUUUAACUGGAUUGUCGAGCUUAAGGAAUUCGCACACCCAGCUACUCAAACUUUCUCUGCUAUUGGAACAAUAGGACCAACAUUUUUCCUUGCAAUUGCCAUGUUUGGUUUUGUGUUUCAAGUUGGUUCUUUGAUCACUGAGAAAGAACUUAAACUUCGCCAGGCAAUGUCUAUUAUGGGUCUUUAUGAAUCUGCCUAUUGGUUGUCAUGGCUUACAUAGGAGACUUUUCCGACACUUCUAUCAUCACUUUUCUCAAUACUCUUCGAAAUGAUGUUUCAGUUUGACUUCUUCCUUCACAACAGUUUUGUGAUUCUGUUCCUUGUGUUCUUCCUUUUUCAAUUCAAUAUGAUUGGUUUUGCCUUCAUGAUUUCAACUUUCAUUAGCAAGUCAUCAUCAGCCACCACUGUUGGA